rfam:Leptospirillum ferriphilum ML-04, complete genome.
GGGGAUGUAGCUCAGCCGGGAGAGCGCCUGCCUUGCACGCAGGAGGUCAGCGGUUCGAUCCCGCUCAUCUCCA